rnacentral:piRNA from 1 species
UGCUUUUGGUUGCGUCUCAGAGGU